GAUGAACGCUGGCGGCGUGCCUAAUACAUGCAAGUCGAGCGAACAGACGAGGAGCUUGCUCCUCUGACGUUAGCGGCGGACGGGUGAGUAACACGUGGAUAACCUACCUAUAAGACUGGGAUAACUUCGGGAAACCGGAGCUAAUACCGGAUAACAUGUUGAACCGCAUGGUUCAACAGUGAAAGACGGUCUUGCUGUCGCUUAUAGAUGGAUCCGCGCCGCAUUAGCUAGUUGGUAAGGUAACGGCUUACCAAGGCAACGAUGCGUAGCCGACCUGAGAGGGUGAUCGGCCACACUGGAACUGAGACACGGUCCAGACUCCUACGGGAGGCAGCAGUAGGGAAUCUUCCGCAAUGGGCGAAAGCCUGACGGAGCAACGCCGCGUGAGUGAAGAAGGUCUUCGGAUCGUAAAACUCUGUUAUUAGGGAGGAACAAAUGUGUAAGUAACUAUGCACGUCUUGACGGUACCUAAUCAGAAAGCCACGGCUAACUACGUG
rnacentral:rRNA from 1 species